AACGUUUGUAAGAAAAUAAGAAGAGGUGGAUAAUAACAUCUCUUUCAAGCUCUAAUGCCAGGAAUUUUGAAGUCAAUGUUGUGUUUAUAUUAAAUUACUUUUAGAAUCAAGGCAGUAUUGUAAAAGGUAAAAGGUUUUAAACUUUCAAUGCUCAUUUUGUUGCAAAUUUUUCAUGAGUAAAAAUGGCAUUUUCAAAAGCUUCUGGCAAUCUUUUAAAUUGCGCCAUCAGAUUUAAAUCAUGCCAUUGUGCUAAAAGAAAUAAUAUUUACACAAAGUUAGUACAGACGUAUUCGUAUUAUAGUAUCACUUAUCAGCACAAUAUUAAAGCUUUAUUAUGCUUUAUAGGUUUCUUAGAGGUAAGCCUUGAUCUUUUACAUUCUCUGUUAAUGAAGUAUAUUUCUGUUUUACAAUGGAAAUAACUUUUUUUAGUUCAUUUUCCACUUUAAAUAAUUUUGUCAGUGAAAAAUUAUAAACAAAAUAUGGUAGAACUAUUUUUUUUUCUUUUGGCAUUUACAGGGUGCAAUUUAAAAAAAAAUAUUCAAAAUAGGUAUAGAAAAAUGAAAGUUGUAAAAAACAAAAUAACAAUAUUUUCAUACAAAUAAUGUCAAAUUAUUAAUAACCUACUUGUUGUAACAUAAUGGACUUGCAUAACAUUGAAUAACUGUGCACUCUAAUAAUAAAUCUCCUUUUUUAAAUAUAUUAUGAAUUUCAUGAGUUAAUUUUAGAACAUUCACAUUUAUUUUCAGAGACUCCUGGUUCCUGUCUUAGCAAUCAUACGUGAAUUACUCACAAGUUUAAUUAAUGAUACAGGAGACGGGCUUGAAAGAGUGGUUGGACAGACUAUUUAGAUAGUGCUAAUUAUUUUUUUUUCCUUGCUGCAUGGACGAUGAAAUUGCAACUUGUAUUGAUGACAAAAUUUAUAGUCUAUAAUUUUGUAGGUUGGACUGAAGAAACCGUUUGUAAUAACUGUUAACAUGGCAAAAUUUUCUUCAAAAUAAAAUUGCAGAAAAAAUAACAA